CCUACGGGUGGCAGCAGUAGGGAAUCUUCCACAAUGGACGAAAGCCUGAUGGAGCAACGCCGCGUGAGUGAAGAAGGGUUUCGGCUCGUAAAGCCCUGUUGGUAGUGAAGAAAGAUCGAGGUGUUUACUGGCCUGUGUUUGACGGUAAUUACUUAGAAAGUCAAGGCUGACUCCGUGCCAGCAGCCGCGGUGAUACGUAGGUGGCAAGCGUUGUCCGUAUUGAUUGGGCGUAAAGCGAGCGCAGGCGGUACAAUAAGUCAGAUGUGAAAGCCUUGGGCUCAACCGGAGAAUUGCAUCAGAAACUGUUGAACUAGAGUGCGUGAGAGGUGAGUGGAACGCCAGGUGUAGCGGUGGAAUGCGUAGAUAUAUGGAAGAACAUCAGUGGCGAAGGCGGCUCUCUGGUCUGCAACUGACGCUGAGGCUCGAAAGCAUGGGUAGCGAACAGGAUUAGAUACCCCUGUAGUC
rnacentral:rRNA from 1 species